rnacentral:rRNA from 1 species
GUGGGGAAUAUUGGACAAUGGGCGAAAGCCUGAUCCAGCAAUGCCGCGUGAGUGAUGAAGGCCCUAGGGUUGUAAAGCUCUUUUACCCGGGAUGAUAAUGACAGUACCGGGAGAAUAAGCUCCGGCUAACUUCGUGCCAGCAGCCGCGGUAAUACGAGGGGAGCUAGCGUUGUUCGGAAUUACUGGGCGUAAAGCGCGCGUAGGCGGUUUUUUAAGUCAGAGGUGAAAGCCCGGGGCUCAACCCCGGAAUAGCCUUUGAAACUGGAAAACUAGAAUCUUGGAGAGGUCAGUGGAAUUCCGAGUGUAGAGGUGAAAUUCGUAGAUAUUCGGAAGAACACCAGUGGCGAAGGCGACUGACUGGACAAGUAUUGACGCUGAGGUGCGAAAGCGUGGGGAGCAAACAGGAUUAGAUACCCGUGUAGUCC